GAAAAUGCGAAGGUCUCCUCCAGCCCGGGUCUGCGGCGCUGAUAACUGCAGACAGGCUCCCCCGAUGCCCCCACUUCAAGGCUGCAGGCCUGGGCUAGGCAGACCAGACCCUGCCGCUCAGGACGUGGAGGCCGAGCAUAGAAGCCAGGAGGGCUGGGACACGCCGUUUGCUGUGACCGGUGAGAGCUGAGGGUCUCCCAUUCCCGCAGGGCUCCGGGAGCUGAAGUUUUAAGAAAAAGCACCGAUUUUUGCAAAGCUCCUACUACAGUCAUUAGACUUGCUGGUAGCGCCGGGGAUUUAAAGACGUGGCCCUCGCCACGCCCUGCCUCACCGCCACGAUGGUUUAUACUCGAGACUGCGCUUUGUCCCCAACCGCUUCUGGGGUUACGGCUCGUACAGGCGAUGCCGCACGAACACCGGCGCAGGGAAUCGGGGGAGCGGCAGGGGAAAAAAAGGAGGAGAAGAGAGGGGGAAGGUUAAAAAUAAACCCUGUUUCCAAGCACCGGUUGGCAGCGACACAGGACACUGGAGUUGGAGGUGAAAACGUCUAACCUAAUAACGCUUCAGCUCCUGGCUCAGCCUUGGCUCGCUGCCUCCCCAGGGCACAGCGCCGCUCUGCUCUGGAGACCCAGCACUUGCUAUCAGCGCGGCCUUGCAGGCUGCACCAUUUGUCUGCGAGGGGAGCGAGGAGGUCGAUUCGCCUGGCAACAGCAUCUUCUCCCCGCUGCAAAUGUUUCCCCAGCGGUCCCUGGGCUGGGAGGCUUGGAGCAUCCAGGACGAGGCCAGGACUUGCCUGUAGCCCUCGCCAAAUUCAUUGCAGGUGCAGCCUGCCCCGGCCCCCUGGCAUGGGCUCCCUCUGCACGUCAGGGUCUCCGGCGAGAGAAGGACCAGCUGGCUCCUGCGUCCAGCGCUCCCUUAUGUCAAGCUCGUGGUUUGCAGCAGCUCUGCUGCUCGG